UUUUGUAAACAGUCAAAGCAUCACCAGGAUGGCAGCAGUGGAACUCUGUGAGUCAUGCCAUAAUCAUCAGGAUUUCUUGGCCAAUUUAUGAACUGUGCUCAUCUGUAGAAAAUGUUUCAUUGGAGCGAUGAACAACAGUCGGCUCAGGGAUGUUGGCUUUUUUGAUUGAGAGCUCCAGGCCUACAGCAGCUGAGUAUGCUGAAAACUUGAACUACGGAGAAUGCUUCUUUCCAAUGGGCAUUAUAUCUUAGAAAAUUCAUCAACAGAAGACAUUGAAAGUAAGGCUCAAAACCCCCUGGCACUGAAUCUCCGUGUGCGUGCUGGUGCAUGUGAAAAACUAAAGCAUGUGAUCACAUACCCCGUGGGUGGAAAUUUAAAAAGAACUUUACGAAAUGCCAACGACUCAAUGAAACAAAGCGUGAUGGAUCAAGAAGACUGGGAGAGCUGAAGCAAUCUGCAGAAAGAAAUGCAUGGUUGUCAGGAGAGAAUGAAGCCACAGAGAACUUAAGUCAUCUCCUGAGGUCUCAGAGUUCCUAGAUUGGGGCAUGGAGUCCCAACUUCAAAUCGCCUGGACAUCUCCGAACUGACAGGAUUUUUAAAAAUACUGAACUCACAGCCGGGGAAUAAAAGUA